GUAUUACUCAGCACCUGCUAAGAGUCUAGAUCCUUGCUCUUCCUGACUCAGGAGACAGACGACUUCAGUAAGUCCGACUUCCCUCCCGCUGUUCUGCUCCUCCAGGCUCACUUCAUCCAGCCAGGUGGAACUUGAUGACACAUGAUCCCACACAAGAAUACACCGAACUGAGUCUUACUGAGGAUCCGUGCUGGCGUGGACUGGAGCUGAGGUCAGGAGCCUGUGCUGUCUCCAGAGGGUGCCUUGCUACCUUUACCCUGGUCCAACGCACACAGCAUAGCUUCUGUUCCUGGUCGCUGAUCUCCGGGUUUCUGAGAUUCCAGAGUGAUAUGCCUUGGUGUCUCUUUCUUUAUGCUUCGUGUGUCUGAGCUUCAGUGAACUUCUAAGAACUAAGUAUCCUAACAUGAAACAGUGCUCAAGCAAAAGCCUGCAAGACUUGGAUCCAUCUACUCUACUAAAGAGUGUAAGACCACUGACAGCCUGUGGCAUGUAUCUGAGCUGCCCUUUGGAAAUUGACCAUCGACUACCAGCUCAGCUCAGAAAGGCACACAGACACCUCGGUUUAUGUCAUCAGCCCAGCUAAAAGUGAUUCCAGAUGCUUAGAAGAGACAAGAAGGCUUGUUCAGGAGCACUGACCAGCUAAGCUCCUCGGUGCCACCAAGAAUAGCUGUUCAAACAGUCAUCCUUCAGGCACAGGAAAGCUUUAGUAAGGAGAAAGAAGAGUGUUGCCUCUAUCCGUGGCUGGUGCAUCUCCAAAUGAUUUCAAUUUAUGAUGCUAUUUUAAUACAGAAAAAUAAACGAAAACACUAGCACAUUUGACAUUUGAAAUUAUGCUGACUGGCUGGCAUAUUUUAAAACACAUCAAAUAAAGACAGGCAUCAAUGUUUGACAAAUUUUUGUACCAGAUAUAUCGUAAGAAAUAAAUGAAAUGGAAAAUAUCAACAAA
ensembl:lincRNA AU016765 expressed sequence AU016765